rnacentral:rRNA from 1 species
CUAACACAUGCAAGUCGAACGGUAACAGGAAGAAGCUUGCUUCUUUGCUGACGAGUGGCGGACGGGUGAGUAAUGUCUGGGAAACUGCCUGAUGGAGGGGGAUAACUACUGGAAACGGUAGCUAAUACCGCAUAACGUCGCAAGACCAAAAAGGGGGACCUUCGGGCCUCUUGCCAUCGGAUGUGCCCAGAUGGGAUUAGCUAGUAGGUGGGGUAACGGCUCACCUAGGCGACGAUCCCUAGCUGGUCUGAGAGGAUGACCAGCCACACUGGAACUGAGACACGGUCCAGACUCCUACGGGAGGCAGCAGUGGGGAAUAUUGCACAAUGGGCGCAAGCCUGAUGCAGCCAUGCCGCGUGUAUGAAGAAGGCCUUCGGGUUGUAAAGUACUUUCAGCGGGGAGGAAGGGAGUAAAGUUAAUACCUUUGCUCAUUGACGUUACCCGCAGAAGAAGCACCGGCUAACUCCGUGCCAGCAGCCGCGGUAAUACGGAGGGUGCAAGCGUUAAUCGGAAUUACUGGGCGUAAAGCGCACGCAGGCGGUUUGUUAAGUCAGAUGUGAAAUCCCCGGGCUCAACCUGGGAACUGCAUCUGAUACUGGCAAGCUUGAGUC